GGUUCGAUGGCGUAGUUGGUUAUCGCAUCUGUCUAACAUAUGUUGCGUCGACUGUUGAUUGCACAGAAGGUCCCCAGUUCGAGCCUGGGUCGAAUCA